rnacentral:lncRNA from 1 species
UCAGUCCAUGUCGCUUCGCAUUCACUUCCGGGGUGAAACAAACAAAAACGAAAGGCUACCACUGUAGGGCAGGCGAACAAGCAACUGUCGACCAAACCUGCGUGCACACACACUCACACACACACACACACACACACACACACACACGUUCCUCUCUUUUUCCAAAAAGCCCUCACGGUAAAUAGCCAGGCAGACAAAAGCCUGGGUUUCCGUAUUGCUUUUGUAUGCAGUGGCAGGAAGCAGUUGUCAGCUGCAUCAGUGAAAAAUAACAACGGCAAACACUCAGACACCCAGACACAUGCCACAAUGUUCCCGUGGAAAUCAAACUCUGAGAAAUUUUUAAAAUGUUUUCAACACAUCAGCAUGAAGCAUCGACCUAGUUGGAAUCACUUAGAUCUAAAGCAAAUGCACUGAUUGUUUUCACAGCAGGCUUUUCUUCUUGGAGCUGAAACAGGCGCACUGGCGAGGCUGGCAAGGAACGGUUUUCCAGCCCCCUGCCUUGGUCGGCUAUAGCCUGUGACACGAUCAAUACCGGGGCGAGCGGCGGAGGAAGCUCAGGGAAGAUUAUGAAGAUGAGAGAGGAGUUUUAAGCCUCAGUGUGGUUAAUCAUCUCCAUCACCCUUGUCAUCUGCAUCACCCUCGUCAUCCCAUCACCCUCGUCAACUCCAUCACCCUCAUCUCCAUCACCCUCGUCAUCUGCAUCACCCUCGUCAUCUCCAUCACCCUCGUCAACUCCAUCACCCUCGUCAACUCCAUCACCCUCGUCAACUCCAUCCCCCUCGUCAACUCCAUCACCCUCGUCAUCUGCAUCACCCUCGUCAUCUGCAUCACCCUCAACUCCAUCACCCUCAACUCCAUCACCCUCGUCAACUCCAUCACCCUCAUCAUCUGCAUCACCACUAUCUGCAUCACCAUCAUCAUCAUGUCUCCCAACCCAUCACCCAUUCUCCACAACCUUCAAGUCUUAGCUUAAACAUGGCCUUCUUGCAUUUCCCCAUCUAAAUUCGGAUGCCCACAUUCAAUCAUAAUUCACCAU